rnacentral:sRNA from 1 species
CAAGUCUAGCUCGACGGAGCGAAAAGGGGUCACCUUCACCGCCUGGCUUGGAGAUUAUUUUGAAG